rnacentral:piRNA from 1 species
UAAGAAGUCACAGUUCUUCUUGUAUGAGGA